UGGGGAAUAUUGGACAAUGGGCGCAAGCCUGAUCCAGCCAUGCCGCGUGAGUGAUGAAGGCCUUAGGGUUGUAAAGCUCUUUCGCCGGUGAAGAUAAUGACGGUAACCGGAGAAGAAGCCCCGGCUAACUUCGUGCCAGCAGCCGCGGUAAUACGAAGGGGGCUAGCGUUGCUCGGAAUCACUGGGCGUAAAGCGCACGUAGGCGGAUCGUUAAGUCAGGGGUGAAAUCCUGGAGCUCAACUCCAGAACUGCCCUUGAUACUGGCGAUCUCGAGUUCGAGAGAGGUUGGUGGAACUCCGAGUGUAGAGGUGAAAUUCGUAGAUAUUCGGAAGAACACCAGUGGCGAAGGCGGCCAACUGGCUCGAUACUGACGCUGAGGUGCGAAAGCGUGGGGAGCAAAACAGGAUUAGAUACCCUGGUAGUCCACGCCGUAAACGAUGGAUGCUAGCCGUUGGGGGGUUUACCUCUCAGUGGCGCAGCUAACGCCUUAAGCAUCCCGCCU
rnacentral:rRNA from 1 species